UACGAAGGGGGGCUAGCGUUGCUCGGAUUGACUGGGCGUAAAGGGCGCGUAGGCGGUUCGUACAGUCAGACGUGAAAUUCCUGGGCUCAACCUGGGGGCUGCGUUUGGAUACGUGCGGACUUGAGUGCGGAAGAGGGUCGUGGAAUUCCCAGUGUAGAGGUGAAAUUCGUAGAUAUUGGGAAGAACACCGGUGGCGAAGGCGGUUCUCUGGGCCUUACCUGACGCUGAGGAGCGAAAGCGUGGGGAGCGAACAGG
rnacentral:rRNA from 1 species